AUGGCCUCCGUGCUGUCCUACGAAAGCCUGGUCCACGCUGUGGCCAGAGCCGGAAGCGUGACAGCAAUGACAGUUUUUUCCCCCGGAUACAGCUAGACUUUGACUUCAGGUUGAUGAGAAAAGAAAAUCCAAAACUACACACAUGGUGCUCCUGGAGAUCAUUAAAGAGGAAGGACUCCUGGCACCAUAUCGAGGGUGGUUUCCAGUGAUUUCCAGUCUCUGUUGCUCCAAUUUUGUCUAUUUCUACACUUUUAAUAGCCUCAAAGCAGUCUGGGUCAAAGGUCAACGUUCUACCACUGGAAAAGAUCUGGUAGUUGGGUUUGUUGCAGGAGUAGUUAACGUGUUGCUAACAACUCCACUCUGGGGUAAACACCAGACUGAAGCUGCAAGGGGCAAAAUUUAGGAAUGAAGACAUUGUACCAAUGAACUACAAAGGUAUCAUUGAUGCUUUUCAUCAGAUCAUUGGAGAUGAAGGAAUCUCGGCUUUAUGGAAUGUCACAUUUCCCUCAUUGCUGUUUGUCUUCAAUCUUGCCAUCCAGUUCAUGUUUUAUGAAGGUUUAAAACGGCAGCUUUUAAAGAAACGGAUAAAGCUUUCUUCCUUGGGUGUGUUCAUCAUUGGUGCAGUAGCCAAAGCGACUGCCACCACGCUCACCUAUCCCAUGCAGACAGUACAGUCAAUUCUGAGGUUUGGGCGUCAUAGACUAAACCCAGAAAACAGAACAUUGGGAAGUCUUCAGAAUAUUCUCUAUCUUCUUCACCAAAGAGUAAGGCAUUUUGGAAUACUGGGACUCUACAGAGGCCUGGAAGCCAAACUGCUGCAGACAGUCCUCACUGCUGCUCUCAUGUUCCUUGUUUAUGAGAAACUGACAGCUGCCACCUUCACAGUUGUGGGGCUGCAGCGUGCACACAAACACUGAGAUGCCUUCCCAUGAAAAAUUCCGAAGAUUCUCAAGAGGGAGGUUUCCUCGUGAGUGAAGAGAAAUGAUUCUCCUUUGA